AGAGUUUGAUCCUGGCUCAGGACGAACGCUGGCGGCGUGCUUAACACAUGCAAGUCGAGCGGAAAGGCCCUUUCGGGGGUACUCGAGCGGCGAACGGGUGAGUAACACGUGAGUAAUCUGCCCUUCACUCUGGGAUAGCCACCGGAAACGGUGAUUAAUACCGGAUAUGACGCACUCUCGCAUGGGAUGUGUGUGGAAACUUUUUUGGGUGGGGGAUGUGCUCGCGGCCUAUCAGCUUGUUGGUGGGGUAAUGGCCUACCAAGGCUUCGACGGGUAGCCGGCCUGAGAGGGUGACCGGCCACACUGGGACUGAGACACGGCCCAGACUCCUACGGGAGGCAGCAGUGGGGAAUAUUGGACAAUGGGCGGAAGCCUGAUCCAGCAACGCCGCGUGAGGGAUGACGGCCUUCGGGUUGUAAACCUCUUUCAGCACCGACGAAGCGCAAGUGACGGUAGGUGCAGAAGAAGGACCGGCCAACUACGUGCCAGCCGCCGCGGUAAUAC
rnacentral:rRNA from 1 species